GCUCUCUUCGGCAGCAUAUACUAAAAUGGGGAUGAUACAGAGAAGAUGAGAUUAGCAUGGCCUUCCGAAGUACAAGGAUGACCUGCAAAUUCAUGAAGCUGUCCAUAAAAAA